rnacentral:rRNA from 1 species
UAGGGAAUAUUGCAAAAUGGGCGAAAGCCCGAUGCAGCAACGCCGCGUGGGCGAUGAAGGCCUUCGGGUCGUAAAGCCCUUUUUGAGGGGAUGAGGAAGGACAGUACCCUCAGAAUAAGCCUCGGCUAACUACGUGCCAGCAGCCGCGGUAAAACGUAGGAGGCGAGCGUUAUCCGGAUUUACUGGGCGUAAAGCGCGUGCAGGCGGAUUGGAGAGUUGGAUGUGAAAGCUCCCGGCUUAACUGGGAGAGGUCGUUCAAUACUUCCAGUCUUGAGUGCAGUAGAGGGAAGUGGAAUUCCGGGUGUAGUGGUGAAAUGCGUAGAUAUCCGGAGGAACACCUGUGUCGAAAGCGGCUUCCUGGACUGUAACUGACGCUCAGACGCGAAAGCUAGGGUAGCA